AGAGUUUGAUCCUGGCUCAGCCUGAACGCUGGCGGCGUGGCUAAGACAUGCAAGUCGCACGGGCGCAGCAAUGCGUCAGUGGCGAACGGGUGAGUAAUGAAUCGCUAACGUACCCCGGACUCCGGGAUAGCCGUCCGAAAGGGCGGGUAAUACCGGAUGAGACCACGGCAGGGCAUCCUGCGGUGCUCAAAGGUCCGCCGGUCUGGGAGCGGGCGAUUUCGUAUCAGCUAGUUGGUGGGGUAACGGCCCACCAAGGCGACGACGCGUAGCCGGACUGAGAGGUUGGCCGGCCACAUUGGGACUGAGACACUGCCCAGACUCCUACGGGGGGCUGCAGUAACGAAUCUUCCGCAAUGCACGAAAGUGUGACGGAGCGACGCCGCGUGUGGGACGAAGCCCUUCGGGGUGUAAACCACUGUCAGGGGUUAGAAAGUUCUGAUCAACCCCAGAGGAAGGCACGGCUAACUCUGUGCCAGCAGCCGCGGUAAGACAGAGGUGCCGAGCGUUAGGCGGAAUCACUGGGCUUAAAGCGUGUGUAGGCGGGCCCGUAAGUACCUUGUGAAAUCCCACGGCUCAACCGUGGAACGGCUGGGUAUACUGCGGGCCUUGAGCCACCUAGGGGCGAGCGGAACAAGCGGUGGAGCGGUGAAAUGCGUAGAUAUCGCUUGGAACGCCAAUGGUGAAAACAGCUCGCUGGGGGUGUGCUGACGCUGAGACACGAAAGCCAGGGGAGCGAACGGGAUUAGAUACCCCCGUAGUCC
rnacentral:rRNA from 1 species